rnacentral:rRNA from 1 species
AUUCCAGCUCCAAUAGCGUAUAUUAAAGUUGCUGCAGUUAAAAAGCUCGUAGUUGCAUUUCCGAGGCAAGGGAUUAGUCCGACCUUUGGUGGGUAUUUAAUCCUCUUGCCUCGUCCUUGAGUGGUGCUUCUUGGUAUUAAGUUAUCGAGGAGAUAGCCGCUCAUCGUUUACUGUGAGAAAAUUAGAGUGUUCAAAGCAGGCUUAUGCCGUUGAAUAUAUUAGCAUGGAAUAAUAAGAUAGGACCUCGGUACUAUUUUGUUGGUUUGAGAACCAAGGUAAUGAUGAAUAGGGACAGUUGGGGGUAUUCGUAUUCAGUUGUCAGAGGUGAAAUUCUUAGAUUUACGGAAGACGAACUACUGCGAAAGCAUUUACCAAGGAUGUUUUCAUUG